GCCCGCUUGCGCGGGACGCUCCGGCUUCGGGGAUCCCGCUGUCCCCGUCCUUUCCCCUCCAGAACCCAAGAAAAACAAGAAGAACUGAUUGCAGAGCCUGACCAGCCAUUGUGGACCAUGGGGCAAAGCCAUUAGGGGGCAGAGUGUCAGGAUAGAAAAAGCCUGGAUCCCACAGAACCAGAAACUACCAUGUCAGCUCUGGACUUCCUUCCUUUGGUUUUGUUUAUGAAUGUAAGAGAAAUAAACAUUUAUCUUAUUUAA